GGGGCUAUCGUCUAGCUUGGCAGGAUACCAUCCAAUUUUUGGGUAUAAGCCCGGGGCGCUGGCGGUCGAGGGUUCGAAUCCCUCUGGCCCCA
rnacentral:tRNA from 1 species